UACAGAGGGUGCAAGCGUUGUUCGGAAUUACUGGGCGUAAAGCGCGUGUAGGCGGCUUAUUAAGUCGGACGUGAAAUCCCUUGGCUUAACCAAGGAACUGCGUCCGAUACUGCUAGGCUUGAGUGUCGGAGGGGGUGGCGGAAUUCCCGGUGUAGAGGUGAAAUUCGUAGAUAUCGGGAGGAACACCUGUGGCGAAGGCGGCCACCGUGGAAGACAACAGACGCUGAGACGCGAAAGCGUGGGGAGCAAACAGG
rnacentral:rRNA from 1 species